UAGUCACUAACAAGACUACAAGAUCGCGCCACUCAUCCUGAUCCUACACUCAUUUCCAUUCGUACUUGGCUUAAAAUACCUACUUUGUAUGGUCGCCAAGUAAUAAGAAAGAAAGUAUUAAAGAAAUAUAUUCAUUGGAAUGAGUGUAGGACGUAAACUUAAGAGCUGUAAAAUAUUCUAGAGCUGUUUGUAUUUGGUGUAAGACUAGACUUGGAUUAUAUCAUUCAUUGCUGAUGACAUCAAUGUUAAUUUUAUAGAUGAUCCUGGAGCAAAGGCUGUAAUUUGACCUGAACCCAAAUUGGUCUCUAUUUUAAAUAUUGUCUUGAACCAACAAGUUAAGAGGACUAACCUUUCUGGACGACAUUGCCAUCGACAUCACAGCAGAUGAGAGAGAAAGAGAGACCAGAGUUGUGGACCCUGGAGGCAAUUACCAUACUGCCGUGAUAAUGUUCCUUGGUCUAACCAUAACUUAAGUGAGAACUGAAGCCUACCAGUAAAAUGGGGGCGUUGUAAUUAAUAUCCUCCGACAUUGGAGAAUACAGGGGAGAGGUGUCAGAGGAAGAGGAGAUGGAGGAUGGGGCGAAGUAAAGUCUAAGAUUGAAGAGAACUAACUAAUGGCCUGAUGACAGGGUGGAUGGCGAUGGAGGCAUGGAGGUUGGGGGAGAGGAGGCUGAAGAAGUGGAGACAAAUCAGUUUAGAUCUAUUAUGUUGAUUAGUUUAACAUUUAUUUUGAACAUCAGUAUUUAAAUUUUUUUCUCAUUUAGAUUAUUAAAUUAAGAUAAUUUUAUUGUUUUUAUGAAGAUGUUUUCUUACAUUUUUAAUAUUUGUUUGUACUUCUGCCUGGUAAAAAAAUACUGUUUUCCUACAGUUACCUAACAAUGUACAUGUUCUCUCACUGAUUUGAGAAAGCAAAGUGGCCAAUUCGCUCAUCAGUGAGACAAUGUUAACAUUGUCUCACUCUAAUUACUUUGUCUCACUCCAGAUUUGCAACGUGAAGGCACAAAAUAGUGAGCGCGUAACAUGCAGACAAGGUCGUAUGUGCGCGAAAUACGUUGGCAGCACUGGCUGUAAAUCAGCUGGUCAGCUGUUUUACUGUUGUAUCAUUAAAUGUCAUAUUAAAAGUUCACUUCUGUGUAAAAAUAUGUUACGUUUCUUUACCAAUUUAUUUGUUUUAUGGUAACUGUAGGAAAAAUAUAAUGUGCAGCUCGAGUGCAAAGUGCAAUUGCCUCACUCGAGAAACCAUUCCUCACUCGCCUACGGCUCGUGAGUAAGUAUUUCUCUCGAGAGAGUCAAUUUAUCACUUUGCUCACUAGUUGCACAAAUAACUAUUAUUAUCUUUGUUAAAAUGAUUACUUUCACUAACUGACCUUGUCUUGGGUAAAAAGAGAUAUCUUGAUAUUUAACUAGCAGGGUGCCUGUUCUAUGGGCGGGGAUUGUAUAAGUCAGUAGAAACCUUUUCUUAUAUUUCGAUACUUGGUAAAUUAAUCAUUUCCAGAUUGCUAUUCCUGUAUUGAUGUACUGAAAUGAAUAAAAUUAUAUGAAAUGAAA